rnacentral:rRNA from 1 species
UACGAGGGGGGCAAAUGUUGUUCGGAAUCACUGGGCGUAAAGGGAGCGUAGGCGGUCUUCUAAGUUAGAUGUUUAAUCCCGGGGCCCAACCCCGGACAGGCACCUAAAACUGGAAGUCUUGAAUAGUGGAGAGGACGGCGGAAUUGGGGGUGUAGCGGUGGAAUGCGUAGAGAUCCCCAAGAACACCAGUUGCGAAGGCGGCCGUCUGGACACAUAUUGACGCUGAGGCUCGAAAGCAUGGGGAGCAAACAGG